rnacentral:misc_RNA from 1 species
GAUGAAGAACGCAGUGAAAUGCGAUAAGUAAUGCGAAUUGCAGAAUCCGUGAGUCAUCGAAUCUUUGAACGCACAUUGCGCCCUCUGGUAUUCCGGAGGGCAUGCCUGUUCGAGCGUCAUUAUCACCCCUCAAGCCCGGCUUGCUGUUGGAUGCAGCGCUUAUCCCGCUCCUCCCAAAGAUAAUGAUGGCGUCUGCGACGACUCCUGUACACUGAGCUUUCGGGCACGUACACGGCCAGAAGUCCAGACCCGGUCGCCGUCCCCCUCGCGGGGACACCCAUUACCACAAGGUUGACCUCGGAUCAGGUAGGAAUACCCGCUGAACUUAAGCAUAUCAAUAAGCGGAGGA